AUAUGCACCUUCCUCUGCACGGUUAGCCCUGCCACCGCUGCCUCCCGCUCUGAUCAAUGCAUUAACUUACAUCGUGUUCCAUAUAUCUGCUUUAGCACGGCCGGCGGAAAUGCUGACAGCCCUCCUUUCUUUGGAUUUGGCGAUUAGCAGCUCGGGCCUUGUCAAUACAAUAGUAAUGAAUGGGCCAGAUAAAUGUGAUUUGGGGGCAUAAUCAUUUUUUUGUGAUAGUAUGAUAUUGCUGGUGUGCAUUUUUUGCUUAAAAAGCAGAGUGAUUAAUCAAUAAUUAAUUUUGAAGCAGGGGCACUGAUAGAGGCAAAACGAUGAAAACAUUCGCCAUAAAUCUGCACUUUAUCGCCGCUAUUAUCGAAGGAUUCGUGACAACAGCUCGUCAGUCUUGGAGUUCCUCGUGUGACGAUGUGACGAGCGAGCUGAAAGUAAACGUCUCAACACGAUGACACGUCAGGACUGAAGUGGCGAAAACACAGCUGAUUGCAUUUUGGUGGCGCCACAAACAGAGAACAUCACGCGGCCGACGGCUUCUGCUUAAACUCAGACUGGCGGGGGGGCGGCGGGGGUUGGAAGCCCUUCACAAUGUGAAUGAAGUGAGGAAGGAAGGCAGCGUAACAGCAGCGCAGAACAAAGUCGACGAGCUGAGACUAAACAUGAAAGAAAGCUCAUGCAGGACAGGUAAUCUCUCCAGGUGUCCUGGGUCUGCCUCCUGGUACAACGUGUGAAACACCUCGCCUAGGAGGCGUUCAGGAGGGAUCCAGGUCAAGCGGCAGCUCUACUCAGCCCUUCACGAAUGACCAAGUCCAGACACCCGUCAGAGGAAGCUUCCAGAGCUCGUGGUCGUCGGUUAGGGUGGGAACGCAAAUCGACGGGUACAUGAGCAGCUCUCCCCUCACGCUCACACACAAAACCCUGACGUACCUGCACUCCUAGAGGUCACCGCCUGAUGAAGCCAGGAGAACCACAUCAUCUGCAAAAGGCAGAAAAUAUCCUGAGUCAACAAACGGUCCUGGUGUUACUGUCGCUUCUCAUGGCGACAGCAGCAACACUGAACUCAGGCUCACUGCUUUUCUUCUUCAGCGUUGACCGAAGCCACGUCAGACCUAGAUUGUCUGAGCUCACGUCUAAUAUGAGAAAAUCAACGUGACAAAGGGACA